rnacentral:rRNA from 1 species
GAUGAACGCUGGCGGCGUGCUUAACACAUGCAAGUCGAACGGAAAGGCCCAAGCUUGCUUGGGCUCUCGAGUGGCGAACGGGUGAGUAACACGUGGGUGAUCCGUCCUUCACUUCGUGAUAUGCCUGGGAAACUGGGUCUCUUAUCGGAGAGGACCUCUUUUAGGAUGGUGUUGUGGAAAGUUUUUCGGUGUGGGUUGAGCUCGCGGCCUAUCAGCUUGUUGGUGGGGUAAUGGGCUACCAAGGCGCCUGCGGGAAGCCCGCCUGAGAGGGUGUGCGGCCGCAUUGGGACUGAGGGACGGCCCAGGCAGCGACGGGAGGGAGAAGGGGGAAAGAUUGACGAAGGAGCGCAAGGCUGAUGCAGAGACGCCGCGGGGGGGAUGACGGGCUUCGGGUUGUAGACUAAAUGCGCUAGUGACGAAGCGUUAUGUGACGGUACCUGGGGAAGAAGCACCGGCUAACUACGUG